CCUACAGAUAAUGAAGAGACUGAUCCUAGAUCCCCUGCCGCUUCUCCUGUCUCCCCAGUCCCUGGUCCUUCACCCCCUGCUGCUGCACCCACAGGCCAACAGAGGAGGAGAGGCACCCGGCGUCCCCGUGAUGGUCCGUCGGAGGUGGAGCAGACGCUGCUCGAGCUCCUGAGGCGUCCUCCAGCCCCACCACCACCACAGUCUGCUGAUGAGCACUUCCUCCUCAGCCUUCUGCCUUUUCUGCAGAGCAUGCCGCCUCAUACAAAAGAAAUUAUAAAAUUU